UUAUAAUAAUAAAUACGAAUAAAAUUGUAAUAUUACGUCCCAACUUUAAAGACUUUGAGAUCAACUAUAACUGACACAUAUUAACCUUGGCCUUUCAUCCUCCAUAUAUAACAAGUUUAUUCCAUAACGUUAGAAGAUGCAACUAAGAAACUUAUAGAAUACUUGAAGGUAGCUUUUGGCAAAUAUGUGCUUUUCGAAAAGGUGUUUUGCGUUGUUUGUUCUCAUCAUCAAGGAGAUUUAUGUUAAUGUUAGAGGGCCGGUAGUAGCAUAUUUCUCGAAUGUAGGAUGAUGUAGACUUCCUUGAGAUGUGUUUGAUCUCCGAAAAUGUCGGGCAGCACUUCAUCGUUUCAAGUCGAUCUCCAAGAAGAACUCCAUUGACUACUCCUUCGAAGAACUAUGUAGUUGGCAUUGUAGCUUUUUUCUAGUGCUUGCAGAAUAUUCUUAGAAAAUUAUGUUACCCUCCUAUUUAUAGUUGUAGGAGGGAGGCAGUCCAAGUGUGAAUGAACUAUUUUUCCUUCUUUUGAUUGGUUCUUGUAAGUCUUCAAGCUUAUCACAAAUACUAUUGAUAAGGUUGCUUUUUGAUUGGUUGUUCACAUUAUUUGAACACGUGGCAUUCUCUUGUUGGUCUUUAACUUGACUGGGAUGCCAAGUCAUCUUGACACGUGGCAUGAGCUUGGAUCUCAAAAUGAAAUGGACUUUGGACUUGAAGUUAAUAAAAUGGACUUAUGCA